rnacentral:rRNA from 1 species
UACGAAGGGUGCAAGCGUUACUCGGAAUUACUGGGCGUAAAGCGUGCGUAGGCGGUUUGUUAAGUCCGCUGUGAAAGCCCUGGGCUCAACCUGGGAAUUGCAGUCGAGACUGCUCGGCUAGAGUGUGGGAGAGGGUGGUGGAAUUCCCGGUGUAGCAGUGAAAUGCGUAGAUAUGUGGAGGAACACCUGUGGCGAAGGCGGGUCUCUGGGCCGAUACUGACGCUGAGGAGCGAAAGCGUGGGGAGCGAACAGG